CAGAAAAAGUGAAACCUGGGAAUGAGGACACUUGCAGCAAAUGUAAGAAUGCCGGCGACUGAGUUAGAAGCAUGCAUCCAAGCUGUCCGUGUCCUCGGCAUCCAGAAGCGGAGCCUGGAAGCUUCCGAAUUUCUUCAGAAUGCGGUCUACAUUCACCUUCGGCAGGAUUCAGUAUGGCCUGCUAAAAAUUCUGGAGUCAGAUCUUGAAGCCCUGAUGAAGAG